UACUCUUGUAGGUUAAGGACAUUUGUCCCUAGAUGCUUUUAGAAUUCUCUCUUUAUCUUGUUAUUUUGCAAGUUUUACUAUGAUAUGUCAUGGUGUUGACCUGUUUUUGUUGAUUUUGAGGGGAAUUAUCUAUGCCUCUUGGACUUGAAUACCUGUUUACUUCCCCAGGUUAGGGAAAUUCUCAGCUGCAAUUUGUUAAAAUAAACUGCCCCCUUUUCCCACUCUUCUUUUUCUGGGACUGCUAUGAUGGAUAUUGUUUCAUUUUAUGGAAUCACUAAAUUCUCUAAGUCUCCCCUUGUGAUCUGACAGUUGCCUUUCCCUCUUAUUUUCAGCUUCAUUAUUUUCUAUAAUUUUAUUUUCUAUAUCACCUAUUCCAGAAAGGAAAUUUUCAGUUUACCAAGAUGGGCAAUGGAUUUCUUCAGUGUUUCUCAAAUCUCACAAAUGAGUUAUUUAUUGGUAAGGAUGAUCCCCAAAGCUUUGGACAGUGUGAUAGAAGACAUAGGUGAUAGCACUAAGAAUAAUUAUUGUGAAGUUGUGGAAGCAAAGCCCUGAUUAUAGGAGGCUUAUAAGCAAACAGGAGAACUGGAGGAAAUGAGUUUGCUUACUUAUUGGGGAAGUUCUGCUGUAAAUAAGAGGAAAGAAAUGCACAGUAGCUGGAGGGUAUAGUGGGGUCAUGAGAGGAUUGUCUUUAUUUUACUGUGGGAAAAUAAUUGUAUUUUGUAUGUUAGUGGGAAAAAUCAGUGAGAAUAAGUUGAUGAUGCAAAAUAAAGAGGGAAGAAUUGCUGGAGUGCUGAUACUGAAUAAAUGAGAAUGAGAUCUGGCACAUAAGUCAUUGGGAGAUUGAGUGUCCAAUUUUAGGAGCAUGGAAAGGGCACAGAAACAGGGGCAAGAACAGAGGAUCUGGGCCCACAUGCAGGACACCAAGUAGAUGUGAUGGAAAGUUGUGGAAUUCUCUAAAAUUGCUUCUAUUAACAAGGAAAUCUAGGUUAUUACACAGAAUAAGGAUGCGGGAAGAUCUGGGAAGCUUGAGCAGAAGAGAGAGGGCUGGCCUCCUCCAUAUCGGCGCCCCACCUCACCUGUGCGUCCUCUUAAAACCUGAACACUUUCUGCUCCAACACUGGAAAAAGGGUUUUCUGAAGAUAAGAUGUCAUUUUGAAGAUACGAGAGGCUAAAGCUACUACUUUGUUAUGAAAACAAGGACUUUUGAGAAAUUUAUGAAAAUAGGCCCAGCUUUGCCUAUAGACAUGGCUCAAGGCAAUAGUAUACCAGAAGGGCCAUGCUGGGCCUUCAGUGUCUUCUUGACUAGCUCCUCACUCUCCAAGCCACAUCUAAGAAAAGCCUUCUACACAUCAAGUUUCCCAAUGGAGGUAAGAUUCUCAUAGGACCAUAGGACCCUCACUUCAGAUCGUAAGUUAAACUGGCAUCUAAGUAUCUUUCGGACUCUAGUCUUUGUGUUCUGUAGUAUUAUGUAUAUUGUGAUGAUAUCUAGGUGUAACUAGUUUUUGGAAUGAUUUUCUUUUUUCCUCUUAGUCUUUAUUUUUAUAUUUUAAAAUUACUAUAAAACUAAUUCUAAAUAUUUUUAUAUUUAAUAAGUGUGCUGAGCUGUCUAAUAAUAGAUAGUAUUUUUUUUCCACCAAGCAUUAGAAGAACAAAUAUACUCUUGUCCUGACAAGCUAACAUGGAAUCAACCUCUGACUCAUUAUUUGACUUGGUUCUAUUUUGAGUUAUGAAAAAGAGUUAUUUGGAAUUGCUGUUCCUCAGCUGCAAAUAUUAUAUCAAUAAUCUGGUAUUUCUUAGAAUUCAUAAACUAUUAGAAAAUCUCACAAAUUGAACAUAUAUGCUUCACGUAUCCUUUACCAAAUAACUGUUCUUAGAAUUUAUUUUUGUACUUUAUAUUUACUUAAAUAUAUCCAUAUUCAUACUGACAAGGUUGGGUGUCCAGAUCUUAAAACAAUUGAAGUUGGGGAAAAUGCCACUUGAGGGAUGGUAAAUGGUUUCUAAAUUUCAGUGCAGAUGAGCGAAUUUAGGCUGGGGAUUAAACCUCUUUUGUUAUGGGAGACACCAGUUUUGUGAGCAGUUUUAACAAACUAGACAUGAAGCAGGUAUUUUACUUUAUGCUACUUGGGAGACCCAGAAUUGGAGAAGUAGUUCCCAUCACAAGCAAAAAAAAUUGUAUCUAUAUAUGGUGGUGGAUGUUAACUACUAGCUAGAUUUGUGGUGAUCAUUUCACAGUAUAUGCAUAUGUAGAAUUGCUUUGCUGUACACCUGAAACUAAUAUAAUGUUAAUAUAUCUCAAUUUAAAAAAUACAGGUGCCAUGGACUGAAAUGUUAAAUUGAGCAUAUACUUAUUAAGACUAUGCCCUCUAGAAGAGCCAAAUGUAUUUUCUCCUAAACAUGGCUUUUGGCUAGACUCUCUGAAAAUUAAAUGUCUGUCAUUGACAGAUGGGUCUUUCUCUCUCAUUCUCUCAUUCCUUAUUUCCUUUACAUAUUUGUUUCCUGGUGAUAAGAGGACUCAAAAGAUACGCAAACAUAAUCUCCUCCUUAAAGAAAAAUAUUGUAAAGACCUGGUUGUGACUUUGAUGUGAUGCUUUCCAAACUUUGGAAAAUACAGCCUUGGCUAUUAAGAUAGUUCCCCCCCACCAAAUGCCUCCACCCUGACUGCCACUUGGGCAGGCAGGAAGCAGGUCUUGGACUGAGAUUUUAGACUGAGGUGGGCAGGGGAAUGCUACUCUUCUUUCUAUAAUCAGGAACAUAUACAUAGAUUUUCAAAAGGAAGGACACGGUAUAAAAGAAUUUCAUUUGGGAAGAGGUAAGUGAUUUCUAUAAUAUGUUGGCAGGUAAAGUGCUAAGAACUAUUUAAAGGGCUAAAGAGAAUAAGUGACUACCUGUGGAAGAACUAGUUUUCUUUUCUUUUCCUGCAUUACAAUUAUCCUCCAUUUGCCUCUGGUUUCCACUUAGUCUUAGCUGUGCUUUGGACGUCCUCAGGCAGGCUGUGUGCAUACUGAAGAAGAAGCAACCCAGAGUCUAAUGGUGUCACUGCAUGCAGUCCUCAGUAGUGGGGGCAACUGUGACUUAACAUAUUGUUACUUGUAUAAAAAGGAAGAGUGACUCCUGAAGGCUGAAAAAAUGGCACCAUCUGGAUGACAUUAAGAUUUAAGGAAAGUGUAAUCAUCAUCAAUAUCACCAUUGUCAUCAACAAUUAUAAUGCCUGACAUUUGUAGAGUACUUUUUUGAAAGUGCUUUGCCAUAAAAUCAUCUUACUUGCUUAUUAUCUGAGACUUUAUGGAAUAUCAUUGGGAAAUACCAGUUUCACAAGAAAUCAGUUUAAUAAUAAAAGAGACACUUAACUUAAUCACUUUGAGAUAUUUUAGUGCCCCAAAACUGUGUGUAGUAAUAAUAAUGUACAUUUAGUGAAUUUUCACUAUGGGCAAGUAUAUUCUUAAAUUUUUUCUUUAUAUUAAUUUUCCACAUUUAUACAUAUGUAUAAAAUGCACAAAUAUACAUACAUAAAAUACAUAAAUAUAUACAUACAAAAAUACAGAAUACGCUGCAUUUAUUUUUGCAUCUAAUUUUCCUAGGAACCCUGUGAGACAGGAACUCUGAUAACCUUCAUUGUCCAGGCCCAGAAGCAGAGGUGCAAGUAGACUAAAUAACUUACUCUGUGAUUUGAAGGGGGAUUUAAAUCGAGACUAUUGAAUUGCAGGGAUUUCUUAGCCUCUGCUCAUAGGACAUCAGUUUACUCAUGUUCUCAAGGCAGUUUCAGAAAUAGUUCCCAUGCUUUAAGAGAUGGUUGAAAAUAUUGAGAUAAUCUGAUUUAAGUUGUAUUUCAAGGGAAAAUACUUCCCACUUGUUUUAUAUUCAUCAUAUUUAUAGUCAGUAAGUAUUUAUAAUAUUUGUAAGUGGGGAUACAUUUAAAUGCAAUGUCAUACACUUUGAAACUAUAACAUAUUUUUGUUACUUGGUUUAAAAUUCAUCACAGAAGUCAUUUUUCUCCCAAGAAAUGUCUGAGUACAUUAGCUUAAAAGAUGAUAUUGGCAAGCUGAUAGUAUGCAUAUUUCAAAAAGAAUGUUCAGCUGCACUUAAUGUGCAUUUGUGAGAAAUGGCUGUAUAUUCAUGGUCUCUAUGAAGGGCUAGGUGUAUUUAUCAUUCUUUUCCUAACCAUUCUGUCUUUGCAAACUGUCAGUCACCUUAACUGGAGAAUGAAAAAAAAAACCCAGCUGUUUUCUAAAUUAAGGUUUCUAAUAUGUAAACACUGCCCUAUAAGUGAAAAUAGAAUUUACCUUAAUUGGUAAAGACCAAUUGUUUCAAGUGAGAUGUUUGAAGAGAAUAAAAAAUACUACAACUUAUUGUACUGUUCUGCCUUGAUUACAUAAUGGAAACCUACAUCACACUUGAAAAGAUCCUAAAUGUUAGCAAACAUCAUUUUACUCUUAACAGUAAACUCUGUUACAAGCUUUGUAUAGCUGUGGGGCUGACAUGGAAAGAGUUUGUAAAUGCACCAGAAGUUUUUGCCAAUUUGAUAAUUAAAGGAACAAGUAGGAAAAACUACAGAAGCAUGAAAAGGGGCAAGAGAAAGAGAGGCUAGCUAUGUGCAUGACAUGAGAAGACAUUAAAAUUAAAUAAAAAUGGAGGUUUCAUGAUUUAAAUUUAUUUAGGGAAUCAGAAAUAACUACUAGUUGUAUGUUGUAAUUGACCAUGAAAAUGUAGUUAUUGAAAGCUGCUUAUCCAUUAAGAAUGCAAUAAAUGAUGUGUGUGGCCCAAGUAUGUGGGUAUAGGAGGAGCCCAGGAAUAAAUGGGAAAGGUGAGUCAAUACUAUUUAGGGUGCUGACUGCUGCUCUAAGGAAGGACAACUUAUGGCUGUAAGAAGUACUUUGUUGAGCAGUAAGCAUAUAUCUUCCUACAGAAAAGUAUUUAAAUAUUCUGUGGGUUAAUACUCAGCAGCCAUCAAAUGGAUAGAAAUAAGUAGGUUUAACAUGACAAUCACCAAGAACCCUUGGGAGCAGACUGUUUUCGAGAACUAGAACCUAUUCUAGAAGAAGCUUGAGGAAUGAUGUUCUAGGUUCUUAUAAUGGUAAAAGCAAUCUUUCUCGAUUGUAGUUGGAUAAGCAUCUCUAUUAGAAUCAAGUGCGAUGUUAGAAAUGAGAGUUCCCUGUACCCAGCCUAGACUUUCCAGAAUUUCCAGGGGUGGGCCUAGGAACCUGCAUGCAUUUAAAAAAUUUUUCCAAGUGAUUCUUAUACCCAUAGGCAAAAAUCAGCUUACUAAAGAGUGUUUGGAUGGAAGGAAUCGUUAUGUAAUAGAAUUUUGAGUGGGGUAGUAAGUCUGUUGUAAAAGACAAACAUGUGGAAGAUUCAGAAAAGAAAAUACAUGGGACAUUUUAAAGAGGUAGGGGAUUUUUUUCAUCAAUGGCAACUUAGAUCUUCUUGAAGAGGACUUAUCACUACCCAUCCGGAGGAGAGUUCAGGCAGGAAGGCCCAGGGACUGCAGGCAGAAGAGGUCCUCUCAAUUCUACAGGGUCAUGGGGGUUGAUGAUGACAUCACAUCGGUCCAAGAGGUCACAGAGGUGUUAGGUGGUAGCUUUGUGCAGGGUUACUGUGGUGCCUGCAUUCUUGGACUUGGAUUUCAAAACAAUGUGAUAGAGUCUUGGUCAAUCUCUUACAUUUACUGAAGACCACUCCUUUCCAUUAAAGCAAGUGGGAAUUCAUUACCUCAAGGUAAAAAUCUCAGAUACAGCUCUAGACAUUCAAUGUUAUGAAAGAAAACUCCAGGAUUGGCUGGGUAUGGGGUGUGAGGGGAGUACCGGUGACAGUUUCAAUUCUUCCAGUUGGUGUUAUGACACUGAAAGAAAAUAAAACCAUGAAAAGUAAACAGCAGGGCAUAUAGAUGGUAAUGAAUUAAAUAAAGAGUUUCUGGAAGGGGUUUAGCAUAUACUUACUGAAAAACAUGGAAAGCAUGUUUGGAAGAAGAACGAUAAAUUUUUAUCACUUGGUUUUAAUCUGAAUUUUUAGGGGUAGAAAGAAAAACUAAUAAAAUUGCUAUACAAGAUUGUAGGUAGAAGACAAAAAUAAAAGCCACAUGAGGAAGGGCCAUGGCAGGAAAAAAAAAUGCCCAUAAUUUUCAGAUGGAUAAAAACAGAGAGUAAUACUUCUGGUUCCAUGUACCUGUGCAUUAAAGUCGUUACCAAAGCAAAAUGAAACUUUUAAUACAGGAAUACAGUGUUAUGAUAGGCAUAGCUGAGACUUUACUUGGGAGUCAAUUAAUAUAAUAUGAUAUUAGAAAGGAAUAAUUUAAUUUAAAGAUACUAAAUCUAAAGGAACACUUUUGUAGAAUAAGGACCAAUGACUUGUGAUAAAGAUCACAAAACUCAGGGAGCCAAACUAAAAAUGGGAAAUUCAGCUCCCUCAGCAAAUCCUGCCAACAUUAUUCCUUCCAAGUAGAACAAUCUUUAAAACAAACUUUUAUUUUUCCCUACCAUAUUCAUUGUUAAUAUUUUGUUGCAUUUUUUCCCAGCAUUUUUCUUACUUUUACAUUGUGUUUUAACAGGAGAUAUGAGUUUUAGAUGGCAAGUUUUGUAAAUAUUCUA